ACGCUCGACACCUACGGGAGGCGGCAGUGGGGAAUAUUGCACAAUGGGGGAAACCCUGAUGCAGCGACGCCGCGUGAGCGAAGAAGUAUUUCGGUAUGUAAAGCUCUAUCAGCAGGGAAGAAACUGACGGUACCUGACUAAGAAGCACCGGCUAAAUACGUGUCAGCAGCCGCGGUAAUCUGAGCGGGCUGGCAAGGC
rnacentral:rRNA from 1 species